GGAUUGUGGCUCAGUGGUAGAGCACUUACCUAACAUGCUUGAGGCACUGAGUUUGAUCCUCAGUACCA
rnacentral:tRNA from 1 species